GACGCACCAGAGGGAGUGAGAGUCUCGUAGGCGAAAAGCGAAAUCCGCGGGCUGGAUCCAGAGUACCGCCGGACACGUGAAACCCGGUGGGAAUACGGGGGGACCACCCUCCAAGCCUAAAUACUCACCAAUGACCGAUAGUGUAUAGUACUGUGAAGGAAAGGUGAAAAGAACCCCUGGCGGGGAGUGAAAAAGAACCUGAAACCUUGUGCCUACAAGCACCGAGAGCACGUUAAAGUGUGAUCGGGUACUUUUUGUAGAACGGUCCGGCGAGUUAAUAUUUGCAGCGAGGUUAAGGAACUGGAGUUCCGGAGCCGCAGCGAGAGCGAGUCUGAAAAGGGCGUAUGAAGUUGCAGGUAUUAGACCCGAAACCGGGUGACCUAUCCAUGAGCAGGCUGAAGCGGUGGUAAGACACCGUGGAGGGCCGCACCCACGUCUGUUGAAAAAGCCGGGGAUGACUUGUGGAUAGCGGAGAAAUUCCAAUCGAACUCGGAGAUAGCUGGUUCUCCCCGAAAUAGCUUUAGGGCUAGCCUCGAUUUAGAUUACCGGGGGUAGAGCACUGAAUGGGCUAGGGGGCCACAAAGCUUACCGAACCCUAUCAAACUUCGAAUACCGGAUAAUUGAUGAUCGGGAGUCAGACAGUGUGAGAUAAGUUUCAUUGUCGAAAGGGAAACAGCCCAGAUCUACGACUAAGGUCCCAAAGUUCAAGUUAAGUGGAAAAGGAUGUGCAAUUGCGCAGACAACCAGGAUGUUGGCUUAGUAGCAGCCAUUCAUUCAAAGAGUGCGUAAUAGCUCACUGGUCGAGUGAUUGUGCGCCGAAAAUGUAACGGGGCUAAACUUGACACCGAAGUCUAGGCAGAAGGAAACUUCUGGGUAGGGGAGCAACGUGUACGGGCAGAAGCAGAAGCGGAAGCGACUGUGGACUGUACAGGAGAGAGAAUGCCGGCAUGAGUAGCGAGAGCAAAGUGAGAAUCUUUGCCGUCGAAAGCCUAAGGUUUCCUGAGGAAGGCUCGUCCUCUCAGGGUAAGUCGGGACCUAAGCCGAGGACAAUAGUCGUAGGCGAUGGACAAUCGGUUAAUAUUCCGAUACCGCCGAGCAACCGGAUGCAGUGACACAGAAGGAUAGGCAGAGCGUGGCGAUGGUAGACCACGUCCAAGCAGUGAGGCUGUUGUGUAGUGAAGUACGCACAACGGAAGGCUGGGCUGUGAUGGGGAACGAUUACGAUCGGUAAGCUGCUGAAUUCACGCUGGCGAGAAAAGCUGCUACGAAGCGAAGGCGCCCGUACCGCAAACCGACACAGGUAGGCGAGGAGAGAAUCCUAAGACGAGCGGGAGAACCCUUGUUAAGGAACUCGGCAAAAUGACUCCGUAACUUAGGGAGAAGGAGUGCCCAGGAAUGGGCCGCAGAGAAUAGACCCAAGCGACUGUUUACCAAAAACACAGGUCUGUGCGAAGUAGAGAUACGACGUAUACGGGCUGACGCCUGCCCAGUGCCGGAAGGUUAAGGGGAAGUGUUAGGGCAACCGAAGCACGGAACUUAAGCCCCGGUGAACGGCGGCCGUAACUAUAACGGUCCUAAGGUAGCGAAAUUCCUUGUCGGGUAAGUUCCGACCCGCACGAAUGGUGUAACGAUUUGGGUACUGUCUCAACAAGGGACCCGGCGAAAUUGUAGUAUGUGUGAAGAUGCACAUUACCCGCGAUAGGACGGAAAGACCCCGUAGAGCUUUACUGUAGUUUAACAUUGGAUUCCGGUAACAUAUGCACAGGAUAGGUGGGAGGCGGAGAAGCAGUGAUUUCGGUUGCUGCAGAGCCGACGUUGGGAUACCACUCUUGUGUUACUGGGGUUCUAACCUGUGGCCGUGAUCCGGCACAGGAACAGUGUUAGAUGGGCAGUUUGACUGGGGCGGUCGCCUCCAAAAGAGUAACGGAGGCGUCCAAAGGUUCCCUCAGAAUGGUUGGAAACCAUUCGAAGAGUACAAAGGCAGAAGGGAGCCUGACUGCGAGACCGACAGGUCGAGCAGGGACGAAAGUCGGGCUUAGUGAUCCGGCGGUAUAGAGUGGAAUUGCCGUCGCUCAACGGAUAAAAGCUACCUCGGGGAUAACAGGCUUAUCUCCCCCAAGAGUCCACAUCGACGGGGAGGUUUGGCACCUCGAUGUCGGCUCGUCGCAUCCUGGGGCUGAAGCAGGUCCCAAGGGUUUGGCUGUUCGCCAAUUAAAGCGGCACGCGAGCUGGGUUCAGAACGUCGUGAGACAGUUCGGUCCCUAUCCAUCGUGGGCGCAGGAGAUUUGAGAAGAGCUGUCCUCAGUACGAGAGGACCGGGAUGGACGCACCAAGGGUGUAUCAGUUGUCACGCCAGUGGCACAGCUGGGUAGCCAAGUGCGGAUCGGAUAAACGCUGAAGGCAUCUAAGCGUGAAGCCGACUUCAAGAUAAGAUCUCCCAUCCGCAAGGAGUAAGGCCCCAUGUAGACCACAUGGUUGAUAGGUCGCAGGUGGAAGUGCAGUAAUGUACGCAGCUGAGCGAUACUAAUAGGCCGAGGGCUUGAUCAA
rnacentral:rRNA from 1 species